rnacentral:tRNA from 1 species
UCCGCUGUCGUCCAGUGGCUAGGAUGUCUGGCUUUCACCCGGGAGACCCGGGUUCGAUCCCCGGCAUCGGAA